rnacentral:rRNA from 1 species
UACGUAGGUGGCAAGCGUUGUCCGGAUUUAUUGGGUUUAAAGGGUGCGUAGGCGGCCUUGUAAGUCAGUGCUGAAAUAUCCCGGCUUAACCGGGAGGGUGGCAUUGAUACUGCAGGGCUUGAGUAAAGUUGAGGUUGGCGGAAUUGACGGUGUAGCGGUGAAAUGCUUAGAUAUCGUCAAGAACACCGAUAGUGAAGACAGCUUACCAAGCUUCAACUGACGCUGAGGCACGAAAGUGUGGGGAUCAAACAGG